rnacentral:rRNA from 1 species
AUUGAACGCUGGCGGCAGGCCUAACACUUGCAAGUCAAGCGAGCGGCGGACGGGUGAGUAAUGUCUGGGAAACUGCCUGAUGGAGGGGGAUAACUACUGGAAACGGGAGCUAAUACCGCAUACCAUCAGAUGUGCCCAGAUGGGAUUGGCUAGUCGGUGGGGUAACGGCUCACCUAGGCGACGAUCCCUAGCUGGUCUGCGAGGAUGACCAGCAACACUGGAACUGAGACACGGUCCAGACUCCUACGGGAGGCAGCAGUGGGGAAUAUUGCACAAUGGGCGCAAGCCUGAUGCAGCCACGCCGCGUGUGUGAAGAAGGCCUUCGGGUUGUAAAGCACUUUCAGUGGGGAGGCGUUACCCGCAGAAGAAGCACCGGCUAACUCCGUGCCAGCAGCCGCGGUAAUUC